rnacentral:rRNA from 1 species
UACGAAGGGGGCUAGCGUUGUUCGGAAUUACUGGGCGUAAAGCGCGCGUAGGCGGAUUUGCCAGUCAGGGGUGAAAUGCCAGGGCUUAACCUUGGAACUGCCUUUGAUACUGCAAGUCUGGAGUACGGGAGAGGUGAGUGGAAUUCCGAGUGUAGAGGUGAAAUUCGUAGAUAUUCGGAGGAACACCAGUGGCGAAGGCGGCUCACUGGCUCGAUACUGACGCUGAGGUGCGAAAGCGUGGGGAGCAAACAGG